ensembl:lncRNA
UUAACAUAGAAUUAAACCCUAUAACUAUCAAAAACGGAGCAUUUAAAGCCCUUAAAACCAGCUACUAUUGAAAUAUUUAUUUAUAUGACAAACUGAUGUACACAUAGGCCCCUUUCAAGGCAGCGCUGUCCCUCUGAGAUUCCUCCCUUGCCUUGAGGACCAAAGAGACUCAUCCUGCCAUAGGCUUACCUGUCCCAUGUAUUUCUGCAUCCGCCGGUUCUCCCUUUGCAAGAGGCCUGGUGCCAAGCAUAAUGCCCCAUUGACCCGGCGGAUAUGAAUUGCCCCUUUGAGCUUUCCUUCCCUUGACUUUGUGGGUGGCGAAGGGAGACUCCCAGUCCCUUCCUUUCCUCCUCCUUCCCUGCAUAUUCAUGGCCCACCUCCUCUCCUCCUCCUCUUCUCUCUCUUUUUCCAUUCCUGUGGAUUCGUUCCUGCAAAAACUUGGUCACCCGAGCUAGCCUGACACCCUCUCACUAUGGCUAGCUUUUGGGAUACUCUCAAGUUCUGCCUCCUCCUCCUUCACAUCGCCUCCAUCUCUUUGGCUCAGUUUCAAGGUCCGCCAGGGGAGCCUGGACCAAGAGGCCCCCCAGGCCCGCCAGGCAUUCCAGGAGCCGACGGCAUUGAUGUAAGUAAACAAGGCUUAAACCUGGAAUAAAUGGGGGGAGAACCACUGGGUACAAAGGGGGGCAUUGUAUAUUGGAGGAGGCUGCAAUACCCAGUGAAGAGCCUAGAGGGAGCUGGAGAGUCAGAUGAAUAUUGUAGUGUGGCUUUAAGAAAAGAAGAUAUAUCCUAUACUUUUGGGAUUUUGGGCAAAGUCCCAAAAUUAUAAACAUCUGACUUACAAACGACUGAUAGUUUAGAAUAGGAAUGAAACAAGAGAAAGUGAGAGAAGGGAAAUUCGCUUCCAGAACCUAUCUUGUUCAUAACUUGGGUGCUGCUUGUAUAUUCAUGUAUAAGUCUAGGAAUGUAAGUAAAAAUAUCAACCACCAAAACUUGGGUGAACUUAUCCAUGGGUCAGUAUGAGUACUGUACCUUAACUUAUAUACAGUAGAUAUAAAUAUAGAUAUAUAUGAAGCAUUGAUGAAUUUUAUAUACAUAAAGCAUUAUUAUUAUUAUUAUUAUUAUUAUUAUUAUUAUUAUUAUUAUUAUUAUUAUAUUGUAUGACACAGCAAACAAGAUAGAUAUGGUGGAUUUCGUAUCACUCAUGACCAUUCAGCAGACCAAGCAUCAUCAUCAUCAUCAUUAUUAUUAUUAUUAUUAUUAUUAUUAUGCAUUACUAUCUCUGUGGAAUGUCCCCAAACCUGCCCUUGACUUAUACACAGGGUCAACGUAUACAUGAGUAUAUAUGGUAGGUUGAGUAUCCAAAUGCUGAAAUCCAAAAUACUACAAAUGGUUGUCUGUGAUGGGGGAACCUUUGCUUUCUGACAGUUCAGCAUGUUGUUUAAUACACACAAUAGUUAACAAUAUUGUGCAUACAAUUAUCUUCAGGAUAAGAUGUACCAUAUAUACUUGAGUAUAAGCCGACUUGAAUAUAAGCCGAGGCACCUAAUUUUAGCACAAAAAAACUGGGAAAACAUUGACUCCAGUAUAAGCCGAGAGUGGUAAAUUUCAGAAAUAAAAACAGAUACGAAUAAAAUUACAUUAAUUGCUUUCUGACAGUUCAGUAUGUUGUUUUAUACACACAAUAGUUAACAAUAUUGUUCAUACAAUUAUCUUCAGGAUAAGAUGCAUAUGGAAUGAACUUGUUUAGAACUUGGGUCCCAUCUCUAGGGUAUCUCAUGAUGUAUAUGCAUGUGUUUCCAAAUCCAUUCAUGUGUAAACCAUUUCACAAAUAACGGUUAUUAGUGAAGGUUUUAAUCUUGUAAGUUGUCAUGGGUCAUAAGGGAGGAAAAGGGGAUGCAAAAGGAAGUGAGUAGAUAAAUAAUAAUAAAUAAUAGUAAUAAUAGUAAUAAUAAUAAUAAUGUUUUUUCUUUGUUCUGCAGGGGGAUAAAGGUCCGCCGGGUGCAGCAGGAAGCCCUGUGAGUAUCCUAACAAACCCCCCAGCCCUCCAAGGUCUGCAUUUUCAAACUUGGGGGGACUCUUAGUGUAGAAAAUAUAGAUAGUCACACCUCAGGUUAGCUUCACCUUGCUAAAGACACCAGGCUGCACACAGAUCGUAGUCUUUUGUAGUUUAUUAGGAAAUAAGGAAAAGAUAGUUCAUAAAAGGUAAAAGUUCAGUUCCAAAAGAUAGUUACAAAAACAAGGCUGUAAGAACAAAUCCAUGGAAACAUUAGGCAUGAAGCAAGGUCCUUAAAACAAAGCCAAAGUCCCAGAAACGAGGAUACAUCCAGGCUAUAAGAGAAUACAGGAAAGCAGACUUAGUUCUCGAUUCAAGCGAGGAAUUGCUUUGACGAAGAUUUCCUUCUCAGCAGACUGUUUUAA